ensembl:lncRNA
CAACAUUUAAACUUGUGAUUUUCUCACUAGCUGCUGCUUUUACAGCAAAUUAAUCAACAAAUUAAUCAACUCAUUCCCACUGUUCCCAGGAUAGGCUUCGGAUCCACUGCGACCCUGAUCAGGAUAAAGCAGUUGCACACAAAAAAUCUGCCAGACAACAGAGAAAAGUCAAAAAAACAGCAGGCCUGACAAUGAAAAAGGAAUGAAUAAGUGGGAGGAAAAAAAAGUAGUGAUGUCCUUUUAAUGGAACCACUUAUGAAGAAAUCUGGUGUUGUGGUGUGAUGAUGAUGUCAAGAUCCAAGAUAGCACUGG